AUCUCCUUGGUGAUCCUGAAUCCAUUUGUGAGUCCAGGAUGUCUUGGUGGUGGAAUGACAUCAGGCCUGUGAAAUAGGGAAAGCGUAGACUUGACUCCUGUGAACUAUGCUUUGGAAGUAAAUGAUGAAGGAAGAAUAAAGAAUAAUGCAGUAAGGAAGAUCAUAGCAUUUUGGAGCAGAAAGAAGGUUGUGGAGACAA